rnacentral:lncRNA from 1 species
UCUUACUCGAUUUUUGAGAUCUCUUCGCUGCAGAAGCCACUUAGCUUCAAUUGCAAAGUCAUCCAGUACAUCAUCAACAACAUAAGCUGCAUCCUUGAGGUCGCUGAGCCACACCUUGAUAGGCUCACUCUUCCACUGCUUCUCCUCUGCAUCUUGCAGCACAGCUUGAAUGGUUCUGAACGUGCGCUUGAGAUUUUCAAGCUCGGUCGUUAGGCCCCCAGCAAGUCCAAGCUCUUGAAGAAUUGGGGAAUUCAAGUUCCCCAUGAUUGUACUCGCGAGAGCAGAAAGAAUUGCAUCAGCCAUGGCUUGUUUUGGAAUGGAAAAGAAGAGGUAGAAAAGGUGCAAGGAAAACUAAAAGCAGGGGAGGUGAGUAAGAAAUGGCAAGUAAAUAUUGAGAAGACAGAGCAGUAUGAGAUGAAAAAUGGAAAAGGCAAACAGCAGUCUCUGAUUAUAUUGAUUAGGCUCUACACGGUGCAGGCUUGACUUGGCUAUGCCUAUAAUAGUAUAAUAAAGCAAUUGAAGUUUCAGAGAAGGAACAUGGCUGUGAUUUCAAGCUGCAUUUGUCCACUUGAAUUUGCUUGUUGGUUAUGUAUGCUAUUCUAAUAUAAAGUUUUAUAUAUGUUUUCCAGCCAUUUCCUUAUCAUCUUGAGUGGAUUGAAUUUUAU